rnacentral:rRNA from 1 species
GACCGGUGGUUCGCUCUCAGCCCUUUGUGACAUACCUAUAACUGUUGCUUCGGCGGGUAGGGUCUCCGUGACCCUCCCGGCCUCCCGCCCCCGGGCGGGUCGGCGCCCGCCGGAGGAUAACCAAACUCUGAUUUAACGACGUUUCUUCUGAGUGGUACAAGCAAAUAAUCAAAACUUUUAACAACGGAUCUCUUGGUUCUGGCAUCGAUGAAGAACGCAGCGAAAUGCGAUAAGUAAUGUGAAUUGCAGAAUUCAGUGAAUCAUCGAAUCUUUGAACGCACAUUGCGCCCGCCAGCAUUCUGGCGGGCAUGCCUGUUCGAGCGUCAUUUCAACCCUCAAGCUCUGCUUGGUGUUGGGGCCCUACAGCUGAUGUAGGCCCUCAAAGGUAGUGGCGGACCCUCCCGGAGCCUCCUUUGCGUAGUAACUUUGCGUCUCGCACUGGGAUCCGGAGGGACUCUUGCCGUAAAACCCCCCAAUUUUCCAAAGGUUGACCUCGGAUCAGGUAGGAAUACCCGCUGAACUUAAGCAUAUCAAAUCCGGAAGAAAAGUAAUGAACCUAACACUCUACAACCCUUUUGUGAACAUACCUAUAACUGUUGCUUCGGCGGGUAGGGUCUCGUGACCC